AAGCGUGCGUAGGCGGCUUUUUUAAGUCGGAUGUGAAAUCCCCGAGCUUAACGUUGGGAAUUGCAUUCGAUACUGGGAAGCUAGAGUAUGGGAGAGGAUGGUAGAAUUCCAGGUGUAGCGGUGAAAUGCGUAGAGAUCUGGAGGAAUACCGAUGGCGAAGGCAGCCAUCUGGCCUAAUACUGACGCUGAGGUACGAAAGCAUGGGGAGCAAACAGGAUUAGAUACCCAGU
rnacentral:rRNA from 1 species